ensembl:snRNA U1 U1 spliceosomal RNA
AUACUUACCUGGCAGGGGAGAUACCAUGAUCACGAAGGUGGUUUUCCCAGGGCGAGGCUUAUCCAUUGCACUCCAGAUGUGCUGACCCCUGCAAUUUCCCCAAAUUCGGGAAACUCGACCACAUAAUUUGUGGUAGUGGGGGACUGCGUUCGUGAUCUCCCCUG